GCGGUGGAGCAUGUGGUUUAAUUCGAAGCAACGCGAAGAACCUUACCAGGUCUUGACAUCCCCUGACAACCCAAGAGAUUGGGCGUUCCCUUUCGGGGGACAGGGUGACAGGUGGUGCAUGGUUGUCGUCAGCUCGUGUCGUGAGAUGUUGGGUUAAGUCCCGCAACGAGCGCAACCCUCGCCUCUAGUUGCCAGCAUUCGGUUGGGCACUCUAGAGGGACUGCCGGCGACAAGUCGGAGGAAGUGGGGAUGACGUCAAAUCAUCAUGCCCCUUAUGACCUGGGCUACACACGUGCUACAAUGGGCGGUACAAAGGGCUGCGAACCCGCGAGGGGGAGCGAAUCCCAAAAAGCCGCUCUCAGUUCGGAUUGCAGGCUGCAACUCGCCUGCAUGAAGCCGGAAUCGCUAGUAAUCGCGGAUCAGCAUGCCGCGGUGAAUACGUUCCCGGGCCUU
rnacentral:rRNA from 1 species